rnacentral:misc_RNA from 1 species
CAACCCUCAAGCCUGGCUUGGUGUUGGGGCUCUGCGUCUGCAGGCCCUUAAAUACAGUGGCGGACACGCUAGGUCUCCGAGCGCAGUAAUUUUUCUCGCUUCGGGCGUCCGGCGUGGGCUUGCCUCGCACCCAAUUUUAUCAA